rnacentral:rRNA from 1 species
UACAGAGGUCUCAAGCGUUGUUCGGAUUCAUUGGGCGUAAAGGGUGCGUAGGUGGCGCCGUAAGUCGGGUGUGAAAUUUCGGAGCUUACUCCGAAACUGCAUUCGAUACUGCCGUGCUUGAGGACUGGAGAGGAGACUGGAAUUUACGGUGUAGCGGUGAAAUGCGUAGAUAUCGUAAGGAAGACCAGUGGCGAAGGCGGGUCUCUGGACAGUUCCUGACGCUGAGGCACGAAGGCCAGGGGAGCAAACGGG